ensembl:lncRNA
CAGGGUUUGGGUCUUUGAAGAAAUAUUUUCACUGGCUAAUUCCUAAUUCCUGUUCCAUUCUUUCCCUUCUGCUUGGAUUUGGAAUCAACACCUGGCCUUGUUCACAUGUUCCAGUCACCACGAUGUCUUCUGAAAGCACAGAAGACCAAAUAACCAUGAAUAGAACCCAGCGAAUCCAUGUACAAAACAAAUCCUUCCCCACUUAGGUUGUAUCAGUCAUGCCAACAAACGGUCACUGAUAUAUAGAGUUCUACCACCCUUGGGAUGAAGGGCUGGUACUGUGACUGCUAUGAAGAUCAAAUUGCUGCUUCAAAAAUGCCCCAACCUUACCUUACACUAGAGAUGGUGACACCAGUCUUGAAUGAGCUCCUGCCCUGGCGGAGGUGGGAGACGGAAUCACUGAAUGACUUCCUUCAGAUCUGCUCCCACCUUCAAGACAUAUGAACCUCUGAAGACAGGCAACUAUUUGUGUCUACUGAUUGGC